UUGACUUAGAAAUGAGAAUCGUUAUGAUUAUCACAACUGAUCGCGAGAUCGGUUGGAUUCUCUGGAGGCCCUUGGUUCGGACUCUUCAGAUUAUCUCCUCAUCAGGCUAAUCACGGUUAUUGACCCGGCUUUUUGCCGGGUCUUUUUUUG
rnacentral:sRNA from 1 species